rnacentral:rRNA from 1 species
UACGUAGGGUGCAAGCGUUGUUCGGAAUUACUGGGCGUAAAGGGCUCGUAGGCGGCCAACUAAGUCGGAUGUGAAAUCCCCAGGCUUAACCUGGGAACUGCAUCCGAUACUGGAUGGCUUGAAUCCGGGAGAGGGAUGCGGAAUUCCAGGUGUAGCGGUGAAAUGCGUAGAUAUCUGGAGGAACACCGGUGGCGAAGGCGGCAUCCUGGACCGGCAUUGACGCUGAGGCGCGAAAGCCAGGGGAGCAAACGGG